AUCGCUUCUCGGCCUUUUGGCUAAGAUCAAGUGUAGUAUCUGUUCUUAUCAGUUUAAUAUCUGAUAUGUCCCCGAUAAGGGGGCAACAUAUUAAAUGGAUUUUUAGCACCGGGAGCUGAGACGAGGGGCUUGCUCCGUCCGCUCCACGCAUCGACCCGGUAUUGCAGUGCCUCCGGGAGCGGUGCCCCCUUC